ensembl:snoRNA
CUGGCCCUGAAUCAAGGCUGGGAGUUUUCUGAAGCUGUUGGUUUCAAGCGGGAGCCUAAAGAGAUGUCUUUCUAUGGUCUGUUGGCCAUUUCAGAACUUGGCAAAUGGAAUGGUCAAUUCAUUAGAAAGAAACAGUA